GCUUAACACAUGCAAGUCGAGGGGCAGCAUGGUCUUAGCUUGCUAAGGCCGAUGGCGACCGGCGCACGGGUGAGUAACACGUAUCCAACCUGCCGUCUACUCUUGGACAGCCUUCUGAAAGGAAGAUUAAUACAAGAUGGCAUCAUGAGUCCGCAUGUUCACAUGAUUAAAGGUAUUCCGGUAGACGAUGGGGAUGCGUUCCAUUAGAUAGUAGGCGGGGUAACGGCCCACCUAGUCUUCGAUGGAUAGGGGUUCUGAGAGGAAGGUCCCCCACAUUGGAACUGAGACACGGUCCAAACUCCUACGGGGGGCAGCAGUGAGGAAUAUUGGUCAAUGGGCGAGAGCCUGAACCAGCCAAGUAGCGUGAAGGAUGACUGCCCUAUGGGUUGUAAACUUCUUUUAUAAAGGAAUAAAGUCGGGUAUGGAUACCCGUUUGCAUGUACUUUAUGAAUAAGGAUCGGCUAACUCCGUGCCAGCAGCCGCGGUAAUACGGAGGAUCCGAGCGUUAUCCGGAUUUAUUGGGUUUAAAGGGAGCGUAGAUGGAUGUUUAAGUCAGUUGUGAAAGUUUGCGGCUCAACCGUAAAAUUGCAGUUGAUACUGGAUAUCUUGAGUGCAGUUGAGGCAGGCGGAAUUCGUGGUGUAGCGGUGAAAUGCUUAGAUAUCACGAAGAACUCCGAUUGCGAAGGCAGCCUGCUAAGCUGCAACUGACAUUGAGGCUCGAAAGUGUGGGUAUCAAACAGGAUUAGAUACCCUGGUAGUCCACACGGUAAACGAUGAAUACUCGCUGUUUGCGAUAUACUGCAAGCGGCCAAGCGAAAGCGUUAAGUAUUCCACCUGGGGAGUACGCCGGCAACGGUGAAACUCAAAGGAAUUGACGGGGGCCCGCACAAGCGGAGGAACAUGUGGUUUAAUUCGAUGAUACGCGAGGAACCUUACCCGGGCUUAAAUUGCAGAUGAAUUACGGUGAAAGCCGUAAGCCGCAAGGCAUCUGUGAAGGUGCUGCAUGGUUGUCGUCAGCUCGUGCCGUGAGGUGUCGGCUUAAGUGCCAUAACGAGCGCAACCCUUGUUGUCAGUUACUAACAGGUUCCGCUGAGGACUCUGACAAGACUGCCAUCGUAAGAUGUGAGGAAGGUGGGGAUGACGUCAAAUCAGCACGGCCCUUACGUCCGGGGCUACACACGUGUUACAAUGGGGGGUACAGAGGGCCGCUACCACGCGAGUGGAUGCCAAUCCCCAAAACCUCUCUCAGUUCGGACUGGAGUCUGCAACCCGACUCCACGAAGCUGGAUUCGCUAGUAAUCGCGCAUCAGCCACGGCGCGGUGAAUACGUUCCCGGGCCUUGUACACACCGCCCGUCAAGCCAUGGGAGCCGGGGGUACCUGAAGUGCGUAACCGCGAGGAGCGCCCUAGGGUAAAACUGGUGACUGGGGCUAAGUCGU
rnacentral:rRNA from 1 species